AUGUAGGGCAAUCUGUCUUUAAGUAGGGAUAAAUUACUCUUGAGCAAAAUGAUCCUAGAUAGUUUUCCCUUCAAUUCAAGUGUCUUGU
rnacentral:pre_miRNA from 1 species